CCCACGCAAAUUUAUAUGUUGUUUUAAUAAACUUCCUGUCUUCACUAUCCAUAUUACUUGCCAUUAUCGUGGUUUUAUUUAUAUUUAAUUUAUAAUUUGAAUAUUCACUAUAAUUACCCAGUGCCUUAAUCAGUUCCGGCAAAGAUGACCUUGGAUUUUGUAAAGUAAGCAAGACAUCAUCAGCAUAUAAAUUAACUUUAUGUUCUGUCUUUUUUAUCUUAAAACCCUCGAUCUUUU